rnacentral:rRNA from 1 species
CCUACGGGGGGCAGCAGUGGGGAAUAUUGGACAAUGGGCGAAAGCCUGAUCCAGCCAUGCCGCGUGUGUGAAGAAGGCCUUCGGGUUGUAAAGCACUUUCAGUGGGGAAGAAAGCCUUGGGGCUAAUACCCUCGAGGAAGGACAUCACCCACAGAAGAAGCACCGGCUAACUCCGUGCCAGCAGCCGCGGUAAUACGGAGGGUGCGAGCGUUAAUCGGAAUUACUGGGCGUAAAGCGGGCGUAGGCGGUCUGAUAAGCCGGUUGUGAAAGCCCCGGGCUCAACCUGGGAACGGCAUCCGGAACUGUCAGGCUAGAGUGCAGGAGAGGAAGGUAGAAUUCCCGGUGUAGCGGUGAAAUGCGUAGAGAUCGGGAGGAAUACCAGUGGCGAAGGCGGCCUUCUGGACUGACACUGACGCUGAGGUGCGAAAGCGUGGGUAGCAAACAGGAUUAGAUACCCGAGUAGUC